rnacentral:rRNA from 1 species
AACGAACGCUGGCGGCACGUUCUAAGCAUGCAAGUCGAAUGGCAGUGGGGCAACCCCAUGAGAAUGGCGAACGGGUGAGUAACACGUAGGUGAUCUGCCUGACGGAUGGGGAUAGCUUGUGGAAACACAGGGUAAUACCGAAUGAGCUGACGAGACUUUGGUUUUGUUAGUAAAGGUGCUACGGCACCGCCGACAGAGGAGCCUGCGGCUGAUUAGCUAGUUGGUGGGGUAAAGGCCCAACAAGGCGACGAUCAGUAGCCGGCCUGAGAGGGUGUACGGCCACACUGGAACUGGGACACUGUCCAGACUCCUACGGGAGGCAGCAGCUAAGAAUCUUCCGCAAUGGGCGAAAGCCUGACGGAGCGAUGCCGCGUGAUCGAUGAAGGUCGAGAGAUUGUAAAGAUCUUUUCUACAUGAGGAAUAAGUCUGGGAGGGAAUGCCUGGAUGAUGACGUUAGUGUAGGAAUAAGCCCCGGCUAAUUACGUGCCAGCCGCCGCCGUAA